GAUGAAGAACGUAGCGAAAUGCGAUACGUAAUGUGAAUUGCAGAAUUCCGUGAAUCAUCGAAUCUUUGAACGCACAUUGCGCCCGCCAGCAUUCUGGCGGGCAUGCCUGUUCGAGCGUCAUUUCAACCCUCGACGUCCCCCGGGACGUCGGCCUUGGGGACCGGCAGCACCCCGCCGGCCCUGAAAUGGAGUGGCGGCCCGUCCGCGGCGACCUCUGCGAAGUACUACAGCUCGCACCGGAAACCCGACGCGGCCCCGCCGUGAAACCCCCAACUCUGAACGUUGACCUCGGAUCAGGUAGGACUACCCGCUGAACUUAAGCAUAUCAAUAAGCGGAGGA
rnacentral:misc_RNA from 1 species